GUGUGCAGCAGCUCUCUUAGCUGCGCCCGAUCUCGUCUGAUCUCAGAAGCUAAGCAGGGUCGGGCCUGGUUAGUACUUGGAUGGGAAGGGUGACCUCUGAUGGCUAGCAGACG
rnacentral:rRNA from 1 species